rnacentral:lncRNA from 1 species
GUGGUUAACAACAACAGGUCCACAUACUGCCUUUAACAAUAAGCAAAACCCAUACAGCAAAGUACGCUAUAAAAGGUCCCGAAAUUACAAAUGUAUUUAACAAUUCAAACGAAGAAACUAAAGGCUUGAAUUAUGUAAACAAAACAAUAAAUUCCUCUGCCCAACAAAUGGCGAAUUAAACUGAGUAACUGAAAUAGAGAGCGUGUUCAAUUCAAUAUCUU